rnacentral:rRNA from 1 species
GAUGAACGCUGGCGGCGUGCCUAAUACAUGCAAGUCGAGCGAACGGACGAGAAGCUUGCUUCUCUGAUGUUAGCGGCGGACGGGUGAGUAACACGUGGAUAACCUACCUAUAAGACUGGGAUAACUUCGGGAAACCGUAGCUAAUACCGGAUAAUAUUUUGAACCGCAUGGUUCAAAAGUGAAAGACGGUCUUGCUGUCACUUAUAGAUGGAUCCGCGCUGCAUUAGCUAGUUGGUAAGGUAACGGCUUACCAAGGCAACGAUGCAUAGCCGACCUGAGAGGGUGGGAGGCGACACUGGGACGGAUACGGAGUAGAGACUACGACGGGAGGCAGCAGUAGGGAAGUGUCCGGAAUGGUGGAAAGCCUUAAGGAGCAGCGCAGAGUGAGUGAUAAAGGUCUAAGGAUCGUAAAACUCUGUUAUUAUGGAAAAACAUAUGUGUAAGGAACGGUGCACAUCUGGACGGUACCUAAUCAGAAAGACAAGGCUAGCUACGUG